UUUUUUUUUUUUUGGUAUUUUUCUACUCUGCGACAAACUGAAAAGAUUCGAGCACACACUAAUUUAACAACCCUGCUUCGUCGUCUUCUUUUUUUCCCCCUUCUGCUUCCCGGAUAAUUAAAAGAGAAACCUGUAAAGGCAACGUUCCUUCAAGCAAGUUGGUGCUGUAACGUGCUGUGUUCACAGACUCCUGCCAGCAGGGCAGAGCUGAGUGUCCAGCAGAAGUCCUGGGGCUACCUCAUCAAGGGAUUCUCACACCUCUGGCUCAUCCCACUUCCAAACAAAGACCUGGUGGCAUCAUCCAAGGUGUAAUCCUCCCAGACCUUUUCAAGCAUAGCCAGGCCUCUUCCAAACCCCAAGAGAUGGCUUUGAUAUAUAGAAAGGAGAGACAUUGAUCCAGGACACUUCAUCAUGCAAAUUCCAAAUAAAUUUGACUUGCUCAAGUGGACCAAAAGCAAAUGAUCUAGCAGAGAAACUUCCACUAGAGGCCUGAAGUGAGAGCCUUCGCUCAAAAGGACUAUGGGAAUCAACCUAAUAAAGUCAGCUGACAGCAGCCUGGACCUAUGGGAAGUUCUUGGCCUUUGGAUGUAGGACAAAAAAGCCAGAAUGAAACUUUUAAGUGCUGGACAGUCCCAGAGAUACUACCAGUAGCCAUUGUGAUAGGGAACAAAGCUCCAUGAUCCUGUAGGAAUUUUGUCCAGUAAAACCAUUUUCAGUAUUUUGGACUGGCCUCCAAGCAAUACAAAAAUGGGGAUAGUUCUCCUCCUCUUCCCAUGACUGUGAUGUGUGGGGAAAACACAUAUUGCUCUGCAACAGGCCACAUGACUGCUGCUUUUUUUCCCUCAAUGAUGUAAUACCUCCACAAUUAUAAUCAUUCCAUGUUCUUAAUGCUCUCGUAUUAGGCCAAUUCACCAACAUUUACUGUUUAUAAGCAAAAAAUAAAUGUGUUUAAUUUUGUUGAAAGUGCAUGCUGUUCCUUAACUCUUCAUGUUUUUCUGGGCCCUUCUGAGUUCUCAUACCAUUUGAACCAUUUUGCUAACUAGAAAACAGAUUAGAAGCUCAUCUACUCCAGUGGACAAGAGAAAUUACUGUUGCUAACAGUCUUUUCUAUAAAUAUACUCA